rnacentral:rRNA from 1 species
UACGAAGGGGGCUAGCGUUGCUCGGAAUCACUGGGCGUAAAGCGCACGUAGGCGGAUUGUUAAGUCAGGGGUGAAAUCCUGGAGCUCAACUCCAGAACUGCCUUUGAUACUGGCGAUCUCGAGUUCGGGAGAGGUGAGUGGAACUGCGAGUGUAGAGGUGAAAUUCGUAGAUAUUCGCAAGAACACCAGUGGCGAAGGCGGCUCACUGGCCCGGUACUGACGCUGAGGUGCGAAAGCGUGGGGAGCAAACAGG